GAGUUUGAUCCUGGCUCAGGACGAACGCUGGCGGCAGGCUUAACACAUGCAAGUCGAGCGCCCCGCAAGGGGAGCGGCAGACGGGUGAGUAAACGCGUGGGAACGUGCCUUUCAGUUCGGAAUAAGCCGGGGAAACCUGGUCUAAUACCGGAUACGCCCUUCGGGGAAAGGAUUAUCGCUGAAGAUCGGCCCGCGUCAGAUUAGGUAGUUGGUGGGGUAAGUGGCCGUACCAAGCCGAUGAUCUGUAGGUGGUCUGAGAGGACGAUCACCCACACUGGGACUGAGACACGGCCCAGACUCCUACGGGAGGCAGCAGUGGGGAAUAUUGGACAAUGGGCGAAAGCCUGAUCCAGCCAUGCCGCGUGGAUGAAGAAGGCCCUAGGUUGUAAAGUCCUUUCGGU
rnacentral:rRNA from 1 species